AUUGAACGCUGGCGGCAGGCCUAACACAUGCAAGUCGAGCGGAUGAAGGGAGCUUGCUCCUGGAUUCAGCGGCGGACGGGUGAGUAAUGCCUAGGAAUCUGCCUGGUAGUGGGGGAUAACGUCCGGAAACGGGCGCUAAUACCGCAUACGUCCUGAGGGAGAAAGUGGGGGAUCUUCGGACCUCACGCUAUCAGAUGAGCCUAGGUCGGAUUAGCUAGUUGGUGGGGUAAAGGCCUACCAAGGCGACGAUCCGUAACUGGUCUGAGAGGAUGGUCAGUCACACUGGAACUGAGACACGGUCCAGACUCCUACGGGAGGCAGCAGUGGGGAAUAUUGGACAAUGGGCGAAAGCCUGAUCCAGCCAUGCCGCGUGUGUGAAGAAGGUCUUCGGAUUGUAAAGCACUUUAAGUUGGGAGGAAGGGCAGUAAGUUAAUACCUUGCUGUUUUGACGUUACCAACAGAUUAAGCACCGGCUAACUUCGUG
rnacentral:rRNA from 1 species